CCUACGGGCGACAGCAGUCGAGAAUCAUUCACAAUGGGGGAAACCCUGAUGGUGCGACGCCGCGUGGGGGAAUGAAGGUCUUCGGAUUGUAAACCCCUGUCAUGUGGGAGCAAAUUAAAAAGAUAGUACCACAAGAGGAAGAGACGGCUAACUCUGUGCCAGCAGCCGCGGUAAUACAGAGGUCUCAAUCGUUGUUCGGAAUCACUGGGCGUAAAGCGUGCGUAGGCUGUGUCGUAAGUCGUGUGUGAAAGGCGCGGGCUCAACCCGCGAACGGCACAUGAUACUGCGAGACUAGAGUGAUGGAGGGGGAACCGGAAGUCUCGGUGUAGCAGUGAAAUGCGUAGAUAGCGAGAGGAACACUCGUGGCGAAGGCGGGUUCCUGGACAUUAACUGACGCUGAGGCACGAAGGCCAGGGGAGCGAAAGGGAUUAGAUACCCCUGUAGUC
rnacentral:rRNA from 1 species